CUACUAUGUGCAGAGUGUACAAUGUGCUGUCGAAGAACCAGCAGCCUGUGUAGAGCGUUACCGCCAGAGAGGAAAGAAGAGAGGAGGGAACGCGCUUGUGCCUAGGAUCAGCACUUCUGAUUCAGUUGGAAUUGCCCCCACAGUUAAGAUGGGCUGCACAACGGGACAAUUUGCUUGCCAACCACAACCCCAGAUAAACUCUGGUCAGGAGAGUUUGUCUAUGGAGGCUGGUGGUGCUAAAGUACCCGAAGUUCUCUCCUCCCUGGAGCGUCUAUCUCAAGCUACUGGAGGCAUGGAGAAGUCGUGGUACCGCUGCAUCUUUCCCUUUGGCAUCAUCUCGUUGGUCAUAGGGAUUGCAGGAACAGGGGUGACCUACACUUACAAUGACCUGCCACAAACUAAAGUUGUAUCAGUGGUGCUACUUGUCAUGGGUGUUGUGCUACUGCUGAUGGCCAGUGCUUGCUGGACUCUCCACAAAAAGAAGAGAAGAAAAAAGAAAGAGGGAGAGUCUCUGACAUCUGAGCAGUGUCCCCUAUGAAGCAGAUAACGGAAAGCAAUUAGAAGAACCUAAAAACAGAGACUGGCCAAGAGUUUGUCUGUGCUCAAGGUAUAGCUGAAAACACCCUCACCUUACCUUCAACCAAUGCCAAAUCCCCUCUUUUAUUUAUCACAGAGUUAAGAGACAGCUCAGGUAAAGAAAUUAGAGUCAAAGGACAGACGUUGUUGUCUAGAGAAGGUUUUGGGAUCACAAUUUCUGAAACUCUCUUUGGUCAUCAGGCAUCAGGUACCUCUUGUCAAAACAACUAUGGCGGAGACACACAAAAGCACACAGUUUGUGUGUUUACAAGCACAGAGAGACCCUUUGAGCUUUAAUGUGUUGACACCCAACAUGCUCUGUAGGACUGCUGCUGGUGUCACUGCUGCCAUCACGGGGAACGUCAGUCGCAGCAUUCCUCUCAUAGGGACAGGUGACUCUCCAAGAGGUUAGAAGUGGGCCAAAGACUGCAACCUGAUACCCAGCUGAAAGAGCAGCAUGCCCGUGUCACCCGCCAACGUCAUUCGCUCGUCCUGUGACACUGCAGCAAUGUGUGAGGGGCUUUUUAUACGCAACAGAAGAGUGGAACUUGAGUCCGCCAGUAUCUUUGCUGGCAUAUGUGCCGAUGAUGACCUGGGGAGGACAGAGGACUGGUGAACUGGUCUCAGAUCAAUAUUUGGUUGAGAGAUUUCUUUAGAAAGUCCUGAGGAAAUGAAAAUUUGCACACAUGCCCAUCUCCAAGUCCAUGCUUUCAGCGGCCUUUAGUAGCUUUGGGUGGGGGCUGACAUUGACUUUCUGACUGACUGAUUGCCUUUCUGUCAAGUGCGGGUAUUUAUGCCCAGCUUUGUGUCUAUGAGGGAUAUUUAUUGAAGGACACUGCCUGGGGGAGGCAUACUACUGCAGGGGCACUUUGACUCAUCCUGCUCCUCCAUCGCCCCUCCCGCUUGGUGCCUUGAUGCACUAAUGGAAAAAAUCUCUGUUACAUUCCCCCAUUUCUGUUUGAACUUCAAAAAAAAAAAUCUAUUUCUUCUUUCACCCAGCAAAUAUCUCUCCCAUAGUUGAAGGGCAGUAACUUCGUCAGAGUAGAGUACAAAGCUGCACUGAGUAAUGUUUUGGUUCUGAUAAUCUCUGGGGUUUUCCUUUCCCACAUGCUUUCCUUCAGAGACAGACUGCUUGUGAAUAGGGGCAUUCGGUGAAUGCGUGUGAUGCACAAGGCUAUUUUAUUGGUGUCUUAAACACUUCUUUUCGUGACUGAUUGUUGUGUGAGCUAAAAUAAAACAUGAAAUCAAAGAAGGAAUGUGUAAUGUACACAUAGAUUAAGUGAAAGGAAUAUGCUCUGCUUGUCUCCACGUGAGUGACUCAACUAGCCCUGCAGGAGCUCUAAGAACUUUUAUUGAUCAAAACCACAUUGAUCCUGGCUUGGAGUUCAGUGAUGUUUGCCGGGGAGAGCGUGGCUAUACAUGCACGUUGAGCAGUUAGCUUACAAAGCCACAGACCAUCUUAAGCUUCAGCUUGUAAACUGGCUUUUGCCUUCCUGUCUGCUUUUGAGAACUGCCUGUUCUAAUGGUUUGGAGCUCAUUUGUGCAUUUACUGCUCAUGUUCCUUUUUGUAUUGAUGUUAGCCACACUGGUCGUUUAAACAGCAGCAACUGAGGAUUGAACAAUAGCGGUAAUGAGCAGCAGGAUCUUGGAAGUCGCUGCUUUUGAGAUUUAUGUGAGAACAGAGAGGAAUGCCUACAGCUAGAUUAGGAUCAGUCAUCCUGAAGAGAAUGUAAUUAUUUAAGAGGAAAUAUGUUGCAUCACUGGAGGUUACAGAGAUGAUUUCUGCUGUACUGCAGCGUAGCAGCUCACCUCUGAAUCUACUCUCACUGCCGCGAGAUGAGAUUUAACAAUUUCCAAAAAUAUUCUUACAGUAACCAUUAAUUUCUUUCACUUCAUAUGCCAAUUUGUUUUUUUUUUACAUUUGUGCUCAGAGCAGUGGUGUCCUUUAAACUCAGAGACAAAGCAGAAGCUCUGAAAUGACAUUACAUUGGACAACAUAACAAGCUGUCUGCCUCUGCAUUUUGUGUGUGAACUACUUUUACAUCUGCUCACUUUAUGGAAUCCCCUAAGAAAAACAUAAUUUUGCGAUCCUUUGUUGUCUUUUAUACAUAACUACUCAGUGUUUAAAUUAAAGUAAAUACUAAACAUAUGAUCUGGAAACCUCCUGCCUUAUACAAUGUUGAUUUUUUUUAAGCUGUUGACUUAAAGGAGCCGAAAGAAAGACUGAAAUCUUUGAUGGGUAAUUGUCUUGGGGGAUGUAGUGCUUGCAAAAAAUAUAAAUAAAUGAGGUACACAGUCUUAUAUUUCUGCCUUGGCUUGUAUAUCAUUGCAGUUUUUACAUGUACAACACACACCGACUAUAUUUUGUUUGGAUAGAUAUACCUAAAUUUACAUUUUUAAGCUGUAUUGUGCCAGUAUAAGUUGAUGGGUGUUGACCAGAUUUUCUUUUUGUCUGAAACAUAAAGUGAUUUCUUCUCUGCCUUCUGAAUUUUUAAAGGGAAAGUCUACCUCUUUCUGCUGCAGGGACUAAUGUCCCUCUCCUAGUAGACAGCUAAGCUGUCAGUCUGUUUGCUGUUUACUUCACUAAAUAUGUUGCUUACUGUGCCCUCCAAUUUUUGGUGCUGUCUGUUUUUUUAAUGUGUAUUCUGUAUUUCUAUCUUUAUGUUAAUGUUCUCUUUCUGUUUCUAUUGCAUUAAAUAAAUGUUUAUGCUUUGUGUCUUGAAGAA